GGGAGUCUAGGUCAGUGGUGGAGCAUGUGCUUAGCAUGCAUGAAGUCCUGGGUUCAAUCCCCAGCACCUCCA
rfam:Camelus ferus unplaced genomic scaffold scaffold1616, whole genome shotgun sequence.